rnacentral:rRNA from 1 species
AAGUUAGCGGCGGACGGGUGAGUAACACGUGGGUAACCUGCCCAUAAGACUGGGAUAACUCCGGGAAACCGGGGCUAAUACCGGAUAACAUUUUGAACCGCAUGGUUCGAAAUUGAAAGGCGGCUUCGGCUGUCACUUAUGGAUGGACCCGCGUCGCAUUAGCUAGUUGGUGAGGUAACGGCUCACCAAGGCAACGAUGCGUAGCCGACCUGAGAGGGUGAUCGGCCACACUGGGACUGAGACACGGCCCAGACUCCUACGGGAGGCAGCAGUAGGGAAUCUUCCGCAAUGGACGAAAGUCUGACGGAGCAACGCCGCGUGAGUGAUGAAGGCUUUCGGGUCGUAAAACUCUGUUGUUAGGGAAGAACAAGUGCUAGUUGAAUAAGCUGGCACCUUGACGGUACCUAACCAGAAAGCCACGGCUAACUACGUGCCAGCAGCCGCGGUAAUACGUAGGUGGCAAGCGUUAUCCGGAAUUAUUGGGCGUAAAGCGCGCGCAGGUGGUUUCUUAAGUCUGAUGUGAAAGCCCACGGCUCAACCGUGGAGGGUCAUUGGAAACUGGGAGACUUGAGUGCAGAAGAGGAAAGUGGAAUUCCAUGUGUAGCGGUGAAAUGCGUAGAGAUAUGGAGGAACA